AGAAUUCAAAGAAGAAAAAGUAUCAUAAAAGGACUUGAUAUUUGGUGGCACAAAUCUCCUUUGCAUAGGCUACAGAUAUCAAGUGGACAAACAAA